AUUUGCAGCCUCAUUCCAAACCUGAAACACUUGCUGUCUGAAGGUUCCCAUGGGAACCUGACUGCAAUGUGGGGCUGCAGUGCUGGCCAUGCAUACCACUGGCCACUAACAGCUACUUGCAGAGCUGGGUCCCAAGAGAGGGUUUGUUUCCAGGACAACCGAAGUUUUAAUUCUGAUAGUCCCAGUAUAAUUGGGGUGCCUUCUGAGACACAGACUAGCCCUGUGGAAAGGUACCCUGGGAGACCUGUGAAGGCAAAGCUGGACUGUAACCGGACCAGAGACUCUUGUGACUUCUCUUACUGCAGUGAGCCCUCUGAACUGGAUGAAGCUGGCGAGGAGUAUGAGGACGAAAACACACUGUUUGACAUGGUUUGCGAGUCUUCUGUUACAGAUGAGGACAGUGACUUUGAACCCCAAACCCA
rnacentral:lncRNA from 1 species